rnacentral:lncRNA from 9 species
AUGCAGCUCAUGGACGAACGGCUUGUUCCCAAAACAGGCACACACCAAGCACACACAAGUAGUUCCAUACACACGCCCUGCGCCCGGGGGAACCGGCUCCCGGGCCAGGCUACUGAGGCUCCACUUCAGUCUCACAUCCCCAAGUCUGGCCUGCUUGUCCCUCCCACUCAGCUUCCCGGCCUCAGAUGGCGCCUCCAAGGGAGGCCCAGCCAGUGGGAAGCCCCAGUUCUAGCCUGCCACCUGAUAAGGUGCUGGAGAGAAGCACAGAGGAGACUCCUACGCUCAGAAAGGUGGGGGAGACAGGAGGAGCCGCGAGGUCUCAGACACCCCUUCUCCUUUCCCCAGACUUGCAGUCGUGGUGCCAGAACACACGAGGAACGUGGACAGGCGAGAGUGUGUGUCUCCCUCCCGCAUGCUGGGGACACCCUGAGGACCUGCUCGUACCUGUGUGAAGGAGGACCCGCGUGGAGCCCCCUCAGCGAGUCCGGACUUGCUGGCUCCUCUGGCUCCACCUGGAGAAAGGUGGUGAUACACAGGCAACCAGGCACUGCUCUCGCUGGACAAAGCCAGCUGUACCUAUCAAACAGGAACCAGACCGAAAAGCAAGCUUGGGAGAGGACCAGGCUGGCCUCACGCCUGCUGAGCUCCCUGUUCUCUCUCUCUGUACAUGCCUUUCCCUCCCGGAAGGGCCGUGACCUCAUCUGUAAAACCAGGCCAUUAAGCUCACUCCAUAGGCUGUGGUAAAGAUGACAAAAGAUGGUAUCUAGAAUGUGCUAGAGAAAUGACAUACUCUAUUUCUGGUCCUGACCCCUCUGUGGGUGGUUUUUUUUUCAGCAGUGGUGGAAGGCACACACCCCGAUAUAUGCACACUCUCUGGUGACAUUUUUAAGGGAAUCUGGUCCGGGAACAGUGGGUUAACAGUAACAUCAAGUGCCCUAGCCCCCCUAAAGGAUGGCAUCUGUGCUCCUUUCUCAGCCGAGGGCCUGGCUUGAGAUGGACAGUGACGCUGAUGGUGAGAGCUCUGCCAACCUGGACUGAGAGAAAGCUCAGCGACUCGGUCUGGACAUGCCUCACCCCAUCCAGCCCUGAAGAAGAAGGCACCUUUCCUGCUUUUCUUCCACCCUGGGGGAGAGUGCGGGGUUUGUCUGGCAACCUGGGAGUAUGACAGGGGGGUCAGAGAAGGGAGGAACCCACUGGAGUCAAAAUCAAAGUCUGCCCAUCAGCUGUUUGAAAGAAAAGCCAGGGUCUUGCAGGUGAGAUCCCAGUCUCAUCCCGGUCCUCAGCAGCAUCUACGGCUCCGCGAACAGCAGUAAACUGGAUACCGUGAGUGAGGAAGGGGCUCUGCCUUUUAGUCAGUGGAAAUGUGGCCGCUGCCAGCCCCCUGCACACACGUGCAGGCCUGUGACUGGCUCUUCCUGUGGCCCAACCCCAUCCGGGCUGCAGGGCUUCCCCAGCGCUGCUUCUCAGCAGUCAGCACUUCCAGGGUCCCCUAAUGGAACACUCCCUGCGCCCCAAAUGGGGAACGAGGAGCUCCCCUUGCAGGGAGCCGCACGCAGUGGCACCCACUCUGCCUCCAAGAUGCACCUCUCCUCAAGUGUGUCUCUGCUGCCAUCUCAGGGGCCAUGUGGUGACAAGGAUUCUCACUCGGGCUGCCUCAGGUGGCCACUGUGUUGUGAGGAGACGUGUGGGGGGAAGGCAGUUGGGAUAUUCAUACAUGGUGGCCACUGGAACACAGGGGGGCCUGGUGGGUCGUUGGGAUCCAGGGGCCUCGCUGGCUGCUUGGGCCCUGAGGCAGCAGGGGCUGCAAGAGCCCAAGUUAGAAGGUCACCUUGAAGGGUCUCAGCUGCUCCUUUGUCCCUGCUUCCUUCUGGCCUUUGCUCGGCCCUUGUUUAAAUUACUUAAAAGGGGAGAAUCCCACCGACCCAGGUAGGUGUGGCCCGGGUUCCUUGGUCAACCAGAGCCUCCGCCCCAGCUACCUCUAGGCCCCUGGGAUGUCCAGAGAUCUACAACCUUUGGCUUACAGGACCCUGAGUUCAGACUACCCCAGUGGGCUGGAGCAGGACCCAGUGGGGGUGGAGGCUGCCCUCAGCCAGGCUAAAGGAAUGCUGAGGCUCUUGGAAAGAUUCCUUUGAUGCGCUGAGCACUCUGGCUGGCCGGUCCAAUACAAUCAUGACCUUGACCCUUCCCGCCACCCCUAGGCUGGGAAGAUCAGCAUGUUGUUCAUCACCGGACCACAGUUUUCAUUGCUGAGCUGACCUUCACGCCAGGCCUCCCAGGGGGCCCAAGUGAACAGUGGCUGACCUCACUGGGGGCUGCUGAUGGCAGUGGGACCAGAAAUGAUCUAGAGAGGAGCCUGCCAGACUGUCUCCCCAGAGGCUGCUCUGUGGCCCACUCAGCCCCCACUUAGUUUGCAAGAACAGGUUCAACCAGAGAAGACCUGGGACUCCUGUGGAACACAGAUCAGCCAGGAGAAGAG